AAAACAGUUGUCAAUCACAUGACUUUGAUCUGGAAAGACACUUUUGGACAUUAUCUACUGGCAAAGGUACAUUUAAAUAUUCCAACUGUGACGGACUCAACACGAUGAUGUCCCGAAAGGAUGAGAUGCAGUAAAAUAUAAAAAACAAAAAGCCGAGCAAUUAAGCGUGAAAUAAGGUAUGAUGGUCUCCCAUAUUUGUACAGUUUGAAUAACCCGUACUAUUUGGAAUAUCAGGAGAUUGAGGAAGACAUUGAACAUCAACUAAAACUUGCACAGGCAAAUUUUGUGAAGAUGUAGAAGCUGAAAUAUUCUUGCAUAGAGUGCAGCAACAACCAGGACAACAAACAUUGCCUUUCCGCUCACAUAGACAUCUGUUGUUGACACAACCUGUUUUACAAUUGCAUCCCUUUGUAAGAAAAAGGACAGUAUGUUCAACUCGAGAAUAGUUUUCUGUAGUAUCCCAUAUUAUAGACAAGCAAGAAUCACAUUUCAUUUCCCAUCCAUAUUCAAUAUGAUAAAAAAAGUUAAACAUAGGAAUGUAGGGCUUUGUCCCACAUAUCAGAUAUCCAGCAACCAAGCAUCCAGUGAAAUUUUAAUGCUUUAGCUGUUGGAAUCAUCUCAUCUUCAUUGACCAUUCGAUCCCAUUUUUUUCUCUAAUCUUCUCUAAGAAAUCUAAAUGAAUUUGUAGGUCGUCCUUUUCGUGGGAUAUUUGGAGAAUGAAAAGGUUUUUUGGUGAAGAAAUGUUUUCAGGAAAUGCUGUCCUGUGAUUCAAAAAGUGUAGCGUACCAAUAAGUCUAUAAAAUGCCAAAAGACCAUUGGGAUUGGUUUCUGCAAGAGAACCUGGAAAUUCUGUACCUGAUAUGAAAUCACAGUGUUUCCUAAAGUUGUCAAAAACUAUUCUGUUAGUAAAUCCUCUGAAGAAAGAGACAUAGUCACAACCAGUUACAAUGAACAGAUUUUGUAGGCAUUUAUGAAGGUUUUCAAUAUUUUGUAACAAGGGAUCAUUUGCUAUCUCACUGCUUAAUGUGUUCAUGUCAAGGUAUUUUUUUUCGAAGUUGCUGUCCUUCAAGUGAAUGAAAAUUGUUUUAUUUUUAAGAGAAUCUUCAGACAUAAUCAGAGGUAAACCUAUGAAGCAGACAUCUGUAUCAGGACUGUAGAUCAAAAUAUUUGUACAAGGAGAUGAAGAGGCAUGCAACCAUACUUUGCUAUCACUUUCUUCGUGAUUUCCAUUAGACUUUGAAUAUUCAAAUAUUUCGUCUUCAAGAACACAAUGGCCUUGUCCUUGUUGUCACCUUCAAAACCCCCUGCUGUAACAAAAACAAAAUCGCGUGACCUUGAAAGUUCUAAAAAUUUAACUGAAUGAUACUGUACAAGGUUUCUUUUGUUUUGUCUGUUGAAAAGAAACCUUUGCCAGUCAGAAGGAAGAGUGGUUGAAUCAGAAAUAGAUAUUGAGUCCGAAAUUUCAAAAUGAAGCUGGUGACCCAGAUCUCUGCGUGCACGUUCCACAUCCUUUGGGCUAGGACCAUUUCUUUCAGGAUCAUCAAAAAGUACAUGUAUAUCAGAAGCAUUGUACUGUGCAUAGAAAUAGAGAACCCAUUUGUCAAAUAAGAAACUGGCAUAUUAAAGAGAGAAAAUAUGGUAACCAAGUUGACGAGAAUUAAUGAUGAACAUUCCCUCCAAAAAAAUACCUAUUGUGUUAGAACUUGAAAAGGAAAGGAUGUCUGUGUAAGAAGAAGAUUAGAGUGAUUUGAAGAGGUUCACAACACUGGAUUUUUCACCUUUAAUUGGUAGUUCAUCAGCAGUACAUAUAGCUCGAGGCAGUUUUAUUAAUUGAUGCAGUUCUUCCACAGGCUUUUCUAAUGUUUUGAAUAAGCUAAUUGCGCUUUCUUAAAUAGUGAAUAACAGUUUUAUUGUCUUGUAGUUCCUUUUUUUGUUGUAGGUUGUUUUUUGUAAUGAUUGCAGAAAGUGUUUUUAGGUUUCUUCGUUUUCUAGGAACUUUUUUAUUUUUUAGAACUACACAACUGAUAAAACUUUUAAAAUCCUCUUCUCCAUAUUUCCUGUAGUUGAGCAUGUCAGAUGUUUGGUGCGCAUGUUUCUCCUGUAAAUAUCUGGUGUAAUUUUGUAUUGGUUCCAGUUGUAAAUAAAGACUUUUCAUGUAUUCUUGGAUGUAUUUCUCAUCAAUUUGUCUGAUAGAAAUUUCCCCAAUAGAUGAAUUUUGAUGAUAAAUUAAAAGCUGUUUUUCAAAUUUUGUAGGAUUUUUGCUCUAAAAGGUAAUGAUUAGCAAGUAGAAGCUAACGACUGUUUUGUGGUUGAAUUCAGUGAAUAUUUGGUUUGCAAAUUAAUUUGCAUUUCAUGUGCUUCAUCUAAAUCCACACAGUUAUAUUCGGUGCCUGUGAUAGACACUGCAAACGUCCCUAAGGAGAAGAAAUCUGAAAUAGGUUGUGGAAAGGUCAACAAGUCUGAUAAAUGAUAAGGUACAUGUUUAAGAUAUAGAGGUCUGUCAAAAGCAUGAAAAAGAGGACAUAUCAUUUUCAAGGAGGCCAUUCUCAGGUUCCAGUUUCUUGAUCUAUAAGAAAUAUACAGGGCAAAGUAUAAAAGGAAAUCAGUGUGUAUGAAGUUGUCCAAAAAUCUGAAUGUUUCGUCCUCCUCUCUCUUUUUGGAACGCCAGAGUUUGAAAUCAGAAUCUUAAUUAAGACGUGCUAUAAAGUAAUAAGAAGGGGUGACAGUUUCUUGUGUGUGUUUUGUGAGAAAGUUGUGGAAUAAUUGGUUAAUAGAAAUAAAAAUCAUUUUCUAUCUAA